AGGUUCAUUCAUGUCAUGGAAUAAUGUAUAAAUAUUUGGUAUUGAUCAAUUGAACGGAAUACUUGUAUAGAUCAAGAAUUGGAUCAAACUGGAAGUAAUCAAGGAAAAGUCAAAAUUGUUGAUUAGUCCUUGAAGAAUCAACUUAUUUGGUGUUUUAGCCAGGUAAGUUCAUGGUAUUUAUUUACUUAGGUUGUUAAGUAUUUGAUUGGUAUAUAUAUACACGUUUGAUUGUGAAUUUAUUGGUAUGAAAGGUGAGAAUUGGAG
rnacentral:lncRNA from 1 species